UACGUAGGCAGCGAGCGUUGUUCGGAAUUACUGGGCGUAAAGAGUGUGUAGGCGGUGCUCCAAGUCUGUUGUGAAAUCUCCCGGCUCAACUGGGAGGGUGCGCCGAAUACUGAAUGACUAGAGUGCGGGAGAGGAGAGUGGAAUUCCUGGUGUAGACGGUGAAAUGCGUAGAUAUCGAGGAGGAACACCGGUGGUGUAGACGGCUCUCUGGAC
rnacentral:rRNA from 1 species